GACGAACGCUGGCGGCGUGCUUAACACAUGCAAGUCGAGCGGAAAGGCCACUUCGGUGGUACUCGAGCGGCGAACGGGUGAGUAACACGUGAGUAAUCUGCCCCUGGCUUUGGGAUAGCCACCGGAAACGGUGAUUAAUACCGGAUACGACCACUUCUCGCAUGGGAUGGUGGUGAAAGUUUUUUCGGCCAGGGAUGUGCUCGCGGCCUAUCAGCUUGAUGGUGAGGUAAUGGCUCACCAUGGCUUCGACGGGUAGCCGGCCUGAGAGGGUGCCCGGUCACACGGGGACUGAGACACGGCCCAGACUCCUACGGGAGGCAGCAGUGGGGAAUAUUGGACAAUGGGCGGAAGCCUGAUCCAGCAACGCCGCGUGAGGGAUGACGGCCUUCGGGUUGUAAACCUCUUUCAGCAGGGACGAAGCGCAAGUGACGGUACCUGCAGAAGAAGCACCGGCCAACUACGUGCCAGCCGCCGCCGUAA
rnacentral:rRNA from 1 species